rnacentral:lncRNA from 1 species
AGGUCAGCUAAUCAGAUUUUGGGAAAGGAUCAGACCAGGAGGGCACUAACCUCAUCAAUGGAGUAACCCACUGAGGAAGAUACACCGAAGACACUGAGGUUACCUUCAAAAGAGCAGAUGGAUUAAUUCAGAGAAGGGAGAAUAAUGAUUGUGGUGAUGGAGGAGUUUUGGAGCUCAGGAGAAAGAACAACAGUGGAACUCUGCCAAGGAAGGAGGACAGAAAUUGGAGGAGAGAUUUCUUUCAUUAAGAUCCAUCAUCUUUGACCCAAAAUCAGUGUCCUGACAUAACAAAAGAUAGUAGUAUAUUUUUUCUGCCACUGCAAGUAGCUUUUACUCACUUCCUUCUAGAUUUAUAAGCAGUUAGAAGUUUUGAAAAUUUUUCAUUUGGGGAGUGAAAUGGAAACUUGUCUGAACUUGCUGAUACCUGCAAAUCCCAUAAGAUUUACUUAGACAAAAUAAUAGAUCUGUAUUUCAUAGCCUUAUGUCCAAGGCUUCAUGUCCACAAAAACCCUUAUGCAAUAAACAUGUGUAGAAAUGGA